rnacentral:lncRNA from 14 species
UAUAGACUCACAAUCAAGUAUAUUUUCAAAUACAUGUUGGACAAAAGCACAAUGAUUUGGCUGCCAGUAUUUGCUUCCCUGCUCAACAUAAAGAUGACACCAGGAACAAGACUACUAGAAGUAACAGUUGAGCGUAGUUACUGGACAAGUGUGUUUGUGUACUGCAGUGACAACCAGACUGCUAGACCCUUUCCAUUAGACGGGCAAGUGCGUGUCAUUAUGCCAAUAGUUGGCUUGUAACUACAGCAUUCACCAUAAAGCCAAUGCUGGCUCCUCCAAUAGCCCAUCUCUGCAGAAAGUUGCACCUGGCAAAAGUAUUUUGAAAAAAAAAAAUCAUAGAUUUCUCUUCCAGGUGCAGUGGAGCAUACCUUUAAACCUUAGUCACUUGGGAGGCAGAGGCAAAGCCAGCCUGGUCUAUUCAACGAGCCCCUGUCUCAAAAAUAAACAAUCCCAGGUUCUGUUG